GGGAGGGGGCCACGGGAUCAUGGGGCUUCUGACCAUUUUGAAGAAGAUGAAGCAGAAAGAGCGAGAGCUGCGGCUGCUCAUGCUUGGCUUGGACAAAGCUGGCAAAACAACCAUCCUCAAGAAGUUCAGUGGAGAAGAAGUGGACAGUAUCUCCCCAACACUGGGCUUCUACAUCAAGACGCUGGAGCACCGCGGAUUCAAGCUGAACAUCUGGGAUGUGGGUGGCCAGAAGUCUCUGCGCUCCUACUGGAGGAACUACUUUGAGAGCACAGAUGGCCUCAUCUGGGUGGUGGACAGCGAUGACCGACGACCGCCAGCGCAUGCAGGCCUGUCAGCCAGAGCUGCAGAGCCUGGAGGAGCACCUGGCUGGAGCAACCCUCCUCAUCUUUGCCAACAAGCAGGAUCUGACUGGAGUACUGUCCUGUAAUGCUAUUCAGGAGGCCCUGGAGCUGGACUCCAUCCGCAGCUACCACUGGCGCACCCAGGGCUGCAGUGCCGUCACAGGGGAGGACCUGCUGCCUGGUAUCGACUGGCUCCUUGAUGACAUUUCCAGUCGUGUCUUUACUGCCGACUGAGCUUCUUCAGUGUCCCCAGCUCACUAUCAGAAACCAGCUGGAGGGAUGAGCACCAGCUGGCCAGACUAACACUACCAACCCCACCGUGACCUGCUGCUGCUACUUCUGCCCAUUGCUGCUCCCCCGGGUGAGGGCUGUCACCCUGUCUCCCAAAGUGGCCUUCAGCUGCCACACCAAAAGGAAAGGCUGGGCUGGGAGGGACUAUCGGCUGCUCCCAGGGUCCUGGGUGUCACCUUACCUCUGUCCAGCAGUGAGAAUAAAACAC